CAAUGAGUGAAAGUCACAGCAACGUUCCCAUGGAGUUUUUUUCAGCGGCUGGCUGGAUGACUCCUGUUGGACACACAGCUCAUUGACAACUCUUCCGUGGAAAAGUUUUUAAAGUUGCAACGUGUAAUGUUGUGACUUACUGUGGCGGGUCCCGAAAAGCGGACGAAACUUUUUGUCCGAGGGGUGGCCUCAGCCGCAGAUGUUAUCUUUGUUUCAGCCCGUUAACAGCCAAGGACUUCAAGGACCUCAACGAAGAUAAGACGACAGCACGCAGACAAAGCAGAGACAAGGCGAAAUCACAAUGCCCCGCACAUUCAGUCACGUAUUGUGGGUCCUGAACCUGCUUUGCAUAAUAUAUGUGACAACUCCUUUUAGAGGCGGCCUCAGUGAUGUUGACUAUAGAACUCCUGAAUAAAUAGAGGGACGCGGGACUGUGACUAAGUGUGCAGCUCCAUGCGUUCUCCUCAUGAGCUAUAUUGAACUGUGUUUUUACAUGGUUCCUUGCUUCUUGUCUGUUUAAUACAGGUCAUCAGUGUUUGAACCCGACAGUUAUUUAGUCAAGUAUGAUGUGUCCUUGGCCUUUGAACCAACCUUUUCUUUGAACUGUUUUGUAAUCAAAGGCAAUGGUUGUUUACAACCCCCAUCCCUUAGAAAGAGCUGUUGCCAUGUAAUCAGGGAAAGUCCAAAUAAAAGAGGAGGUGUACAAUCUUUCGUCAGGGGCGUGGGACGACACUGUACAUGGGUACAGUGUCUACGCGUCUCUCCUCGAUUGAGCCAAAUUUAAUUCUGUCUCUGUUUAAUUCCUUGCUUCUUUGUCUGUGUUUGAACCUGACAUCUUCUCUUAAUCUUUUUGUAAGUGUUUUUCACUUUUCUUUAAAAGCCUAACCAGGGAAGAGGGUUGCAAAUCAGCCUGUAGCUAGAAGUCUUAUGUACUUUGACAUCGGUUACCGAUGGGUAGAAAUUUUAAUUGUACGGUCCCUGUCAAAUAAAUAGAAAAAUAAAACAGUGAUGUUCAAUA